CCUACGGGAGGCAGCAGUGAGGAAUAUUGGUCAAUGGCCGUAAGGCUGAACCAGCCAAGUCGCGUGAAGGAAGAAGGAUCUAUGGGUUGUAAACUUCUGUUAUAGGGGAAUAAAGGGAGCCACGUGUGGAGAUUUGCAUGUACCCUAUGAAUAAGCAUCGGCUAACUCCGUGCCAGCAGCCGCGGUAAUACGGAGGAUGCGAGCGUUAUCCGGAUUUAUUGGGUUUAAAGGGUGCGUAGGGUGUCUUGUCAGUCAGCGGUGAAAGUUUGUGGCUCAACCCUAAAAUUGCCGUUGAAACUGGCAGCCUUGAGUGUGUUUGACGUCGGCGGAAUGCGUGGUGUAGCGG
rnacentral:rRNA from 1 species